GUGGGGAAUAUUGGACAAUGGGCGAAAGCCUGAUCCAGCAAUGCCGCGUGAGUGAUGAAGGCCCUAGGGUUGUAAAGCUCUUUUACCCGGGAUGAUAAUGACAGUACCGGGAGAAUAAGCUCCGGCUAACUUCGUGCCAGCAGCCGCGGUAAUACGAGGGGAGCUAGCGUUGUUCGGAAUUACUGGGCGUAAAGCGCGCGUAGGCGGUUUUUUAAGUCAGAGGUGAAAGCCCGGGGCUCAACCCCGGAAUAGCCUUUGAAACUGGAAAACUAGAAUCUUGGAGAGGUCAGUGGAAUUCCGAGUGUAGAGGUGAAAUUCGUAGAUAUUCGGAAGAACACCAGUGGCGAAGGCGACUGACUGGACAAGUAUUGACGCUGAGGCACGAAAGCGUGGGUAGCAAACAGGAUUAGAAACCCUAGUAGUCC
rnacentral:rRNA from 1 species